rnacentral:rRNA from 1 species
GAUGAACGCUGGCGGCGUGCCUAAUACAUGCAAGUCGAGCGAACAGACGAGGAGCUUGCUCCUCUGACGUUAGCGGCGGACGGGUGAGUAAAACGUGGAUAACCUACCUAUAAGACUGGGAUAACUUCGGGAAACCGGAGCUAAUACCGGAUAAUAUAUUGAACCGCAUGGUUCAAUAGUGAAAGACGGUUUUGCUGUCACUUAUAGAUGGAUCCGCGCCGCAUUAGCUAGUUGGUAAGGUAACGGCUUACCAAGGCAACGAUGCGUAGCCGACCUGCGAGGGUGAUCGCACACACUGGCUCUGAGACACGGUCCAGACCCCUGCGGGAGGCACCCGUCGCGAACCUUCCGCGGAGGGAGCAGGCCUGACGGAUCAACGCCGCGUGAGUCAUGAAGGUCUUCGGAUCGUAAAACUCUGUUAUUAGUGAAGAACAAAUGUGUAAGUAACUAUGCACGUCUUGACGGUACCUAACCAGAAAGCCCCGGCUAACUACGUG